rnacentral:pre_miRNA from 1 species
GGUCUAUGUCCUUAUGAAGUUUACAACCUAAAUUUCCAAAUUUCCAAAUUUAGGUUGUAAACUUCAUAAGGACAUAGACC